rnacentral:rRNA from 1 species
UACGUAGGUGGCAAGCGUUGUCCGGAUUUACUGGGCGUAAAGAGCGCGCAGGCGGUCGUUCAAGUCGCGUGUGAAAGCCCCGGCUCAACUGGGAGGGUCACGCGAUACUGAUCGACUCGAAGGCAGGAGAGGGUAGUGGAAUUCCGGUGUAGUGGUGAAAUGCGUAGAUAUCGGGAGGAACACCAGUGGCGAAGGCGACUACCUGGCCUGUUCUUGACGCUGAGGCGCGAAAGCUAGGGGAGCAAACGGGG